CUGUGUUCGCUGUUGUUUCCUCCAGGAAAAGAAGUUUGGAAAUAUCCCCAUUUUGCGGUGAAAUUUUAAACGGUGGCAGCUACAGAUGAGAUAAAUAACACGCUAAAUGCUAUGUCAACUUUGAAGAGGACGAACUGAGAAAAACACAGAAGCAUUUGGCUUGAAUGAGACUAAAGCAGCAGAGCACUGUUUGCUACAAUAAAGCGGAUUGAAACGCGUCCCCGCCGAUCCCAGUGCGCAACACUGAGGAAAUCAUCAGGCCACCUGCGCCCUAGGAUGUAAACUGGCGUCUUCACCGUGGGUGCCCAGCAGGAGAAUGGGGAAGGCACUCAGAAGACAGGACAAGGAUCAGAUUUAAAUGGUCUUCUGAAAGUUGCUCCAGCAUACCAUCCCCCUGUGUUGUUCCCACCAGUUCCCCAAAUGGGUGCCCAGCGGGGAACUAACAAGAAGAUGACAGUCUGUCCCUGUGGGUAACACCAGCAGCAACAAAGCCAGCGGGGUGAAAAGGUUAGGAGGAGGGGUGUGUCAGUGAGAGAAGAGGUGAGAGAGCGUGGAGAACAUAACACUCAACCUCUUCCAAUUAAGGAGCCAGCAGGUGCCAGAAGCUGUCACUGGUGAGGUUCUCAUCAAAACACAAGUGCCAACAUUCACACCAACGUGCCCGAGAGGAAGGAACGAUGCCAAGCAGUGUGAGUGUGUGUGCUUGGCUGGAUUGCUGCGAGACCUGUCAUCCUCAUCCCCUCACAGAAAACAGAGCCAGAGAGUGCAUGCUACACGCCAUACUCACAAAGCAUACAGUAAAGAAAAAAGGUCGUGCACACGCAGCCUCUGGACUCGAUCUGAGGCCUGGCUGGCUGCAGUCUGUUUAAAAUCAUUGCCAGGUGUUCACAGUCAACCAUACACUCAGGAAGAGGGAUGGGAGGAAGAGGUUUCAAAAGUAAACACCAGGCUUAUAUGGGCCACGUCUAUUCACCUCCACUCGGAAAAUAUGAAACAAGAUGCAAAACAAUAGGACAGACCAUCAGCCGCCGAUCUGCAGGUCUGCAUCAGUCUUCAUCUGGAGCAAAUCUAACAUAGAGACCCACUGUCUGUCUGCACACACAGACACACGUAAAGUCUGUUUAACUCAAAGCCCUGCUACUAAACCAUCCAAUUCUAAUACCAAGGGGGGCAUGUCACACCUGGUGUUGCCUUUAAAACAUGUUAAAACAUCUUGAGCAUGCAUGAGUAUGCAGGAAGACGAUGGUGAAGUCCCGAAACGCAAAAGACUGGGAGGAGAUCUGUGGCUUAUUUCAUGAGAUACUAUAAUCAAUGUACUCAGUAAGUCUUUUGUCCAUUCUGCUGCGCUUUCUCUGCCACAGCCUGGAGUUUUCUAUCAUCAGGUGAUCAGAAAGGGAUGCAGCGGUUGUUACAAUAUAACAAUCAGAUGAUACGCUGUAAAUGGCUAUAGAGAUGUGAGUU